CUGAAGGUCAGCCCCAGCAGCCAAUCACAGCCAGAGCGAGAGAGGAGCUUCCUCCAUUAACUCCGGUUGCUGAAGAGUGAGACUGCGGUGCCACGCUUGGACAUAACGCUGCCACCACAAAACUGGAGAUACAGGCGGCAAUACUUACUACAAACCAAAGGAAAUUUUCAGAUCCAUCCUAAAACGGAUCCCGUAUGAGCAAGAAAACUGCUAGGAUAAGGAAUGCUGACUGCCCUCUCAGUACAGCCAGAGGUGCACCUAGGACUCAGUUCAGUUGCAUCAACAACUCAUUUGAGUCUGUUAGUGUGCUAGGGUGACAUCUGACGUCAGCUCUGAGGCACUUUGCUUUCUCACUCCUGCUAUCAAUGCCUCUUAGCAAAAAAAUCAUUCCAAAUCUGAAACACACAAGAAGUUGGUAAAUUUAUGAUUAAUAUUUCAAGCCUGUUAACAUCUCAAGCUUCUCUGCCACUGUCAGAGGAGAAUGCUACCUCUGCCUUCACCAUCAUUCUUGGCAGGAGCUCUGACAGUGUGAAUGCAGACUCUUAUAAACUGAAGGACAUCGCGGACAUUAAAAUAUCCAUGAAACUGAAGCCAUGCCAUUGUCUGGAUGAGGACAGUAAUCGCCAGCAGCAACAAAAAUUUGACAGAAACCAUAAUACAUUUAGAGUGGAUUUUCAUUUGAUUGAUGUGAUCUCCCUGAUGGAUUUCCUAAAUAAACUACUUUAUUAAGAAUUUUAA